UACAGAGGGUGCUAGCGUUGUUCGGAAUCAUUGGGCGUAAAGGGCGUGUAGGCGGUUUGUUAAGUCAUGUGUGAAAGCCCCCGGCUCAACCGGGGGAACGACGCAUGAAACUGGCAAGCUAGAGUACCGAAGAGGGGGGUGGAAUUCCCGGUGUAGCGGUGAAAUGCGCAGAUAUCGGGAGGAACACCGGUGGCGAAGGCGGUUCUCUGGGCCUGUACUGACGCUGAGGAGCGAAAGCGUGGGGAGCGAACAGG
rnacentral:rRNA from 1 species